GACGAACGCUGGCGGCGUGCUUAACACAUGCAAGUCGAACGGCAAGGCCCUGCUUUUGCUGGCUGCUCGAGUGGCGAACGGGUGAGUAACACGUGAGUAACCUGCCCUUGACUUUGUGAUAACUUCAGGAAACUGGGGCUAAUACCGGAUAGGAGCUCCUGCUGCAUGGUGGGGGUUGGACAUUUUCGGCUGUUGGGGCUGGACUGCGGGGUUAUUAGCUUGUUGGGUGGGUAGUUGCUUACCGAGGCUUCGACGGGUAGCCGGCCUGGGAGGGGGGCCGGGCACAAUAGGACUGCGGUAGGGCGCAGACUCCAACGGGAGGCAGCGGUGGGAACUCUUGCCCAAUGAGCGGGAGCCUGAGAAAGCGACGCCGGGGGCGGAAUGCCGGCCUUCGGGGUGUAAACCGCUUUCGCCUGAGACGAAGCGUGAGUGACGGUACUGGGUAAAGAAGCACCGGCUAACUACGUG
rnacentral:rRNA from 1 species